rnacentral:rRNA from 1 species
GGUUUAAUUCGAUGCAACGCGAAUAACCUUACCUGGCCUUGACAUCCACGGAACCCUGCAGAGAUGCGGGGGGUGCCUUCGGGAACCGUGAGACAGGUGCUGCAUGGCUGUCGUCAGCUCGUGUCGUGAGAUGUUGGGUUAAGUCCCGCAACGAGCGCAACCCUUGUCCCUAGUUGCCAGCAUUCAGUUGGGCACUCCAGGGAGACCGCCGGUGACAAACCGGA